CCUACGGGAGGCUGCAGUGGGGAAUAUUGGACAAUGGGGGGAACCCUGAUCCAGCGACGCCGCGUGAGUGAAGAAGUAUUUCGGUAUGUAAAGCUCUAUCAGCAGGGAAGAAAGAAAUGACGGUACCUGACUAAGAAGCCCCGGCUAACUACGUGCCAGCAGCCGCGGGAAUACGUAGGGGGUAAGCGUUAUCCGGAUUUACUGGGUUGAAAGGGGGCGUAGACGGCGAUGCAAGUCUGAAGUGAAAGGCGGGGGCCCAACCCCCGGACUGCUUUGGAAACUGGAUGGCUGGAGUGCAGGAGAGGUAAGUGGAAUUCCGAGUGUAGCGGUGAAAUGCGUAGAUAUUAGGAGGAACACCAGUGGCGAAGGCGGCUUACUGGACUGUAACUGACGUUGAGGCUCGAAAGCGUGGGGAGCAAACAGGAUUAGAUACCCUUGUAGUC
rnacentral:rRNA from 1 species